UAAGGAAUAUUGGUCAAUGGACGCAAGUCUGAACCAGCCAUGCCGCGUGAAGGAUGAAGGUCCUCUGGAUUGUAAACUUCUUUUAUCUGGGACGAAAACGGGAUUUUUAUCUCAAUUGACGGUACCAGAGGAAUAAGCACCGGCUAACUCCGUGCCAGCAGCCGCGGUAAUACGGAGGGUGCGAGCGUUAUCCGGAUUUACUGGGUUUAAAGGGUGCGUAGGUGGGCUUAUAAGUCAGUGGUGAAAUCUCCGAGCUUAACUUGGAAACUGCCGUUGAUACUAUAGGUCUUGAAUUAUCUGGAGGUAAGCGGAAUAUGUCAUGUAGCGGUGAAAUGCUUAGAUAUGACAUAGAACACCAAUUGCGAAGGCAGCUUACUACAUAAUCAUUGACACUGAGGCACGAAAGCGUGGGUAGCGAAC
rnacentral:rRNA from 1 species